rnacentral:rRNA from 1 species
UACAGAGGGUGCGAGCGUUAUCCGGAAUUACUGGGCGUAAAGGGCGUGUAGGUGGUUUGUUAAGUUCGAUGUUAAAGCGUGAGGCUCAACCUCAUAAUGGCGUUGAAUACUGGCAAGCUAGACGACUGGAGAGGAAAGCAGAAUUACCAGUGUAGCGGUGAAAUGCGUAGAUACUGGUAGGAAUACCCAUUGCGAAGGCAGCUUUCUGGACAGUUUGUGACACUCAGACGCGAAAGUGUGGGGAGCAAACCGG